GAACAGAGACUUGUAUGUUGUUAAUAUUUAUAUUUUUCUUACAGAAGGAUAUUCAGGAAAAGAUAAACCUCAUUAGGCUUCAUGUAAAGGUCUUUGAGGAAUUUCAACUUAAAGAGGAGAAACCCUUGGCCUGGGCUGUGGUGUGGACUAACUCUAAAUAUAAGGACAGAGACAUUUUUGAGGAAAAAAUCUAUGGAAUAUGGGAACACCUGCAAAAGAAGAUGGAGACACUAGACAUGAAAGAACUCAGAAUGGGAAAGGGGAAUGAGAAGUUCAGUGAGCUCUAUCAGAAGCUGAAGGAGAGGGAAGCUAUAUGGGAACAGGACAUCAUGAAGCAAAAAAGGGAAUGGGAACCCAAGGUGUCCAGAAAAAUCAGAUAUCUAAAAGACAUAACCAGAGAUUUUGAAGAAAAGAUUCAGAAAUCAAACGUGGAACUAUUAAAGGAUUUGUUCCGUGAGAGUAGAAGCAUGUUUGUAGAUGCAUAUUUGGAACCUUUCAUUCCACAUAUGAAUGAUUUGUAUCUCAUUGUGGUAAAUGAAUUUUUAGAAUUCUUUCAUACAUUUGGACUGUGGCAGCCCUGGAAUUCAUACAAUCUUCUUGAAGGAGAAAAGAAGAGAACUAUUACAUGUGUACCUGGAUCCUCAGGAGAGACAUUUGUUAUUUAUAAUAUUGGCAAUUUUCACAAGGACAAUGUUAGGAUAAGACCCUUCUCAUUGAAUAAUUGCUUUCAGAGUAGUAUUUUAGAAGAAAAACACUCUCCAAUUAUUAGCAAUCUUGUAGAGAUAGAAUUUUAAUUUAGAGUUUCCUCAGUGUGAAUCCUGUCAAACUGCCUUAGGUGGAACUUUGAGCUAAGGUCUUGCUUGGGAAUUCUGUGAGACCUGAGGAGGUGGAAGUUCUGUUUAAUAAAACUGUCUCUCUCUCUGCUGGUGGCUAAAUC
ensembl:lncRNA